GGGGUAUAGGAUUUAAUAUAAUUUUCAAAUAUAUUGACCAUGUCAGAAUCGUAAGAUAGCAGCAUACAAUAAAACUUUGAAAUUAGUAUUAGACCUAUAUCU
rnacentral:misc_RNA from 1 species